UACGUAGGGUGCGAGCGUUAAUCGGAAUUACUGGGCGUAAAGCGUGCGCAGGCGGUUUUGUAAGCCAGAUGUGAAAUCCCCGGGCUUAACCUGGGAAUGGCAUUUGGGACUGCAAGGCUGGAGUGCGGCAGAGGAGACUGGAAUUCCUGGUGUAGCAGUGAAAUUCGUAGAUAUCGGGAGGAACACCAGUGGCGAAGGCGGCGAUCUGGGAAGAUACUGACGCUGAGGUGCGAAAGCGUGGGGAGCAAACAGG
rnacentral:rRNA from 1 species